AUUUACCUUUUCAAAGUAUGUUCAAAGAAAUGAGACUGGGAUUUACUUCAAAGUAGUUUGGUGGAAAAAGGGAACACUGGGUAGAAAUAUAAAUUUAACAAGCUUGGCCAUGGAUUUACGAUUAAUAAUGAGUUAUUAAUGGGUUACAUUUAAUGGCUGUCUCAGAGUUCUGUGUGUGUGUGUGUGUAUGUGUGUGUGUGUUACAAGAGCAAAACAAAGAAUGAAUGUGUACAGUUCUAUAUCAUGUAGGUAGUUUGUGCAAACAAAUGCUUCUUACCAUAGCAUCUUCCUAAGGUUAGCACUACAGUUAAACUAUGCUAGCUUUCUGAUACUGUAGCAAAAUACCUAAAAAAAAAAGUCUAUUUAAGAGGAGAAAGGAUUUAUGUGGAUGAUUCUUUCAGAGGUUUCUGCCAUCGUUUUUUGGCUCUGAUUCUUUUAAGGCUGUGACAGCAAAUGCAUGUUAUGGAAUGUGUAGUGGAAGAAACUGUUCACCACAAAGCAAAGUAAAGAAGAAGAGCUGGCGUUGUGACAUUCUUCCACUAAGGCCCGCCUUUUAGAGGCUGAGCACAUCCAAUAAUGCCAUGAGCUGGGGAUCAAGCCAUUAAUACAGGUGCAUUUGAGAGACAUUUAAGAUCCAAAUUAUGCAAACACCUAUGUUCAUUUCCCCAUCACCAUUAAAACUUGACAACGACUAACAACUUUAUAAUCUCAGUAACUUUGUCAUCUCAAGGAUAUUUCAUGUAUUGAUGUGUAGGGGACAUGACCAUUUCAAAUUGGCUUUUUUUCAGUAGUUGAAUGCUUCUUAGUAACAAGUAGAUUAUACAGGAUAUAUCAUGGUUUCUUUAAUCAUUUACCACUUCAAUGAAUAACAUCUGGCUUGUUUCCAGUUUUGUAAGCAUUAUAAAUAAAGCUGCAUGUAUGGAAAUAUCAUUCACUUUGUACAAUUAAUAAAUGUUGAUAAAAAUAAAAUUUAAAAAUGAAUGAAUUUUCUGUGAAUAAUUGUAUACAGGUUCUUGUAUGGACUUAAGUUUUCUUUUAUUUCUGAUCAUUUCCUAGCACUACAACUAGUAGCUUAUAUGUUAAGUAUUUAUUUACUUUGUAAAGAAAAUGUCACACUAUUUUCCAGUGUGGCCUUUUUAUUUACUAGAAAUGUAUGAAAUUGUCUCUACAAUCUAGUAGCACAUGGUAUUAUCUUCUUGAUUUUAGCUACUGUGAUAUUUCUGUAAUGAUGAUAUAUAUCCUCCUCAGUAAAAUGUUUGUUCAUGUCUUUUGCCUGUUUUCUAAUUGGAUGAUUUUUUUUCCUUUCUUUCUGUUGGUGGUACUGGUAAUUUAGAACACAGGUCUUUAUGUGCUCAAUCAUUUGAACCAUGCUACUAGACUUUUUUGCUUUUAGAUAUGUUUUUAAGUCUCAUCCUUUAUGCCUGGCUGGCUUUAGAUAACAAUCCGCUUACCUAUGUCCCUUUAUAGCUGGGAUAUACUCCCAGCCUUGAAUUAACUUGUUUUGAUGCUGAAAUAUC